CUAGCGACUUCAGAGUUUGAUCCUGGCUCAGGACGAACGCUGGCGGCGUGCUUAACACAUGCAAGUCAAACGGAGAUACAUUGGAGGAGAGCUUCGGCAGGAAUCCGGCGUAUCUUAGUGGCGGACGGGUGAGUAACGCGUGAGCAACCUGUCCCAGACAGGGGGAUAACACUUGGAAACAGGUGCUAAUACCGCAUAAGACCACGGUGUCACAUGGCGCUGAGGUAAAAGGGGCAAUCCGGUUUGGGGUGGGCUCGCGUCCGAUUAGAUAGUUGGUGAGGUAACGGCCCACCAAGUCGACGAUCGGUAGCCGACCUGAGAGGGUGAUCGGCCACAUUGGAACUGAGAGACGGUCCAA
rnacentral:rRNA from 1 species